rnacentral:lncRNA from 1 species
GGGCGGCUAAGCUCGUGCAGGAGCUCAGCGAGCCCUUUGUUUGUCUGCUUACCGUGCAGAGGCUUUCGGGCACCGGCAGGGGAGGGAAAAGGCCUUUCGGGAGCCGGGACCCCGCAGCGAGUGCGAGCGCCCCCUGCGCUGGGCGUUUAAGCCUGCGGCGGCCGGAGCAGCGCAACAAGGCUGGUGCUUCCGCAGGUGGUGAAGGUGCCCCCGGCAGGGAGAGGUGCCCGGCUGGGGAGCAGCCGAGCGGCAGAAGGGCUGCUCGGCUCAAAAUGAGCAGCGCCGGGGAACGCUGAUACAGGAGGACGAGCCCAGGCGAGGAGCGCGGCCCUGACAUGGCAGCGCUGGGGGACACCGACACGGGAGGAGAUGUCUGAGGAGACACUGGUGCUGCCUUGCCUGCACCUGCCCACUGCAGGAGAUCUGGUGGGGACGCCUCUCAGUUCUGACCUUAGAAUUGGGAGAGACCCUCUGUGCAGAGAGAGGCACUUGGCAUGGAUUUAUUCCCUGAGGGAAGAGGCUGGGCUCCCUGCUGUUUGGAGCAACUUGCUGGUGACAGCCAUGUACCUGUACACCUGCCUCAGAGAACAUGUCCUGUGGACGGACACCCCAGCUUGCUACAGCUCAGGUAAUUUCAGCUCCAGGCACAGGAUGUUCCUGAUAACAGUCACUCCUUCCUGUUACAGCUGCAGGUCAGCUCGACUCUCCUCGUGGAGGCUACAGAGAGCAGAUGUCCUGCUCAACCAUGCUGUCUGCACAGCCCUGCUGAUGGAUGUCACAGCUCCAGCUAAUGGACACUCCAGCUCUGGGGCACAUCCAGCCAUUGGCCCUCUGGAUAAGAGAUGUUCCUGCUGAUGGGCUCACCAGCGUGUUACUGCUCGGGGUAUUUGAAGCCCUGGCUCCAGCUACACGAUGCUCUGCUGAUGGACACUCCAGUUCGUUUCAAUUCUGGCUACGAGAUGCUCCUGCUACAUGCAGCUGUGGCUGAGGAAGUGAAGCUGCUUCUUGUUACCAGCUUUGGCUUAAUAAAUGCUCCUUCUUGUUACCAGCCA